UACAGAGGUCUCAAGCGUUGUUCGGAUUCAUUGGGCGUAAAGGGCGCGUAGGCUGCGGGGCAAGUCGGGUGUGAAAUCUCAGAGCUCAGCUCUGAAACUGCACUCGAUACUGCUUUGCUUGAGGACUGGAGAGGAGAUUGGAAUUCACGGUGUAGCAGUGAAAUGCGUAGAUAUCGUGAGGAAGACCAGUGGCGAAGGCGGAUCUCUGGACAGUUCCUGACGCUGAGGCGCGAAGGCCAGGGGAGCAAACGGG
rnacentral:rRNA from 1 species